CAGUGUCUCCUCCCUCUUCCCCGCCCCUACAACACGACAGUUACCCAUGCAACAUGACCUUCAGCGCCAGCACUCUGCCACCCCCUUCUCUGCUAAUACUGCACGCUUAGUCGCUCGACAAGAUCACCGCAGAACGUGAAGGCGGGUUGCCCAACGGAGGAUUUACAAACAUUUGGGAACGACUUUUUCUGGCAGGUCGCUGUGAGAACUGCAGGACUUUCUGCACACAAAGACACAGUCUAAACCUCUGCACUCAAAGACGAGGAACUCUAGCGUGGCUUAUAGGAGCAUGACUCAAGGUCCCCCACCCUCCGCUGCCGCCUAACCUCGACCCCAGUAAAAUGUCUUCCCGAGAAAGCUCAAGGCAGCCAGGAGAAUUCCCCGUUUAUUCUAGCCAACACCCGAUGAUAUUGAUCAUUCACCAGGCUUCGUCCUAGAUUGGCACUGGGGAUUUAAAGUUUAGAAGAAGCUGCCCUUCCAUCCAGUUCACUGACUCCCCAGAAGACUGACACCUCCCCUGCAAGUCUAGAGGAUAAUGUCAGAGGAGAAGCAAGGUCAAGAUGCAGAGGAUGCAGAGGCAAAAGAGCAGCUGAAUCUCAGGACAGUGCUGUUUUCAGAGGGCGGAGCUUUGGAGCUGAGACUUGAACAUGAGGAGGGGCUUGGAGAUGGGUAAAGGAGAGGAUUCUGGGCAAAAGGAGCAGCACGUGCAAUAGCCUGAAAAAAUGGAAGGAACAAGAGAGUGUGGCAUGUUUGGGCAACCACCAGCAAUCCAGCUGUAUUAGGAUGUACCUGUGCAUGCAGCAGGUGGCGGGAGUUGAGGCAGGACAGGUGGGCAGAGGUCAGAUCAACAGGCAUCUUAUCUCUACUUAAUGUGGAGACACCUCAGAAUUCUGAACAACAGUCUGGCAUGAUUAGACUUGGGUGCUAGGAAGGCCAUUCUGGCUGCUCUGAGAAAGAGUAACACCAAAGAUGGUUAGAUGAGUUGCAAAUGCCCUAGUUCAGGCUGAUGUAAUUCCAAAUCAAGGAAAAAUAACAGUGGGGCUGGAGAUAGACAUGUGGUUAGGAGAGAUGGUCAGGGGACAGAAUUAAC
rnacentral:lncRNA from 1 species